AAACCGGUGCUGCUGAAUCUGAACGAGUUGAACUGCUUUUUCUUUAGGCUUGCCUUGCAUGCUGCUGGAUGAUAACCGAUACCAAACCUGUCGCAUUUCUCUACCACGUUGACAACUUUACCCCAACCGGGAAGCGGGCCUUUCUCAAAUGUCUGCUUGACACUUUUUACUGAGGAUAGAAUGGUAGCAGAUGAUUAGUUAUGGUUGGCGAUAGUAGAACUGACUUCUUCAAAUUCUAAACUGUGGAGCGGAAUCUCAACAAUCCUCUC
rnacentral:lncRNA from 1 species